GUCCCAGUGGUGUAAUGGUUAGCAUAUCUCCCAAGGCUGCGCAGGUUGGAUUAUUUCUGGUGGAAGGUCCUUGUUCGAUUCAAGGCUGCGCCA